CAGUAGCCGCGGUAAUACGAAGGGGGCUAGCGUUGUUCGGAUUUACUGGGCGUAAAGCGCACGUAGGCGGAUCGAUCAGUCAGGGGUGAAAUCCCAGAGCUCAACUCUGGAACUGCCUUUGAUACUGUCGAUCUGGAGUAUGGAAGAGGUGAGUGGAAUUCCGAGUGUAGAGGUGAAAUUCGUAGAUAUUCGGAGGAACACCAGUGGCGAAGGCGGCUCACUGGUCCAUUACUGACGCUGAGGUGCGAAAGCGUGGGGAGCAAACAGGAUUAGAUACCCCGGUAGUCCCUGUCUCUUAUAA
rnacentral:rRNA from 1 species